GUAGGGAAUCUUGCGCAAUGGGCGAAAGCCUGACGCAGCCAUGCCGCGUGAAUGAUGAAGGUCUUAGGAUUGUAAAAUUCUUUCACCGGGGACGAUAAUGACGGUACCCGGAGAAGAAGCUCCGGCUAACUUCGUGCCAGCAGCCGCGGUAAUACGAAGGGGGCUAGCGUUGCUCGGAAUUACUGGGCGUAAAGGGCGCGUAGGCGGACAGCUUAGUCAGAGGUGAAAGCCCAGGGCUCAACCCCGGAACUGCCUUUGAAACUCCUGGUCUUGAGGUCGAGAGAGGUGGGUGGAAUUCCGAGUGUAGAGGUGAAAUUCGUAGAUAUUCGGAAGAACACCAGUGGCGAAGGCGACUCACUGGCCCAAUACUGACGCUGAGGCGCGAAAGCGUGGGGAGCAAACAGGAUUAGAAACCCCUGUAGUCC
rnacentral:rRNA from 1 species